GCACGACGUCCAAAAUACCCCUGUAGGCGUACAACUCGAAGCGUAUUGAAUCCUGCUUCGCAUGGUGGAACGAAGUGGGACCUUGGAACGUCCACCCCAACUUCGUCUCGAUUCCGACGAUCGAUUUUGCCCGUGACGAAAUCCCAUAACUGACCUGAGCCCAGAAAGCUAUGGGUACAUCGCAGUUCGCCGGAAAGUGGGAAGCACUAUUACAGAAGAAACAGACAGCGCCAUCUGUUGAGAGGAGCGGGCGAACCAACUGGUAUAUUUUCUGUCCACCUUUACAGUCCUCCUUGCCAGGGAG